rnacentral:rRNA from 1 species
CCGCUUAACACAUGCAAGUCGAGGGGCAGCAUUCCUGUUUGCUUGCAAACUGGAGAUGGCGACCGGCGCACGGGUGAGUAACACGUAUCCAACCUGCCGAUAACUCGGGGAUAGCCUUUCGAAAGAAAGAUUAAUACCCGAUGGUAUAAUCAGACCGCAUGGUCUUGUUAUUAAAGAAUUUCGGUUAUCGAUGGGGAUGCGUUCCAUUAGGCAGUUGGUGAGGUAACGGCUCACCAAACCUUCGAUGGAUAGGGGUUCUGAGAGGAAGGUCCCCCACAUUGGAACUGAGACACGGUCCAAACUCCUACGGGAGGCAGCAGUGAGGAAUAUUGGUCAAUGGGCGCAGGCCUGAACCAGCCAAGUAGCGUGAAGGAUGACUGCCCUAUGGGUUGUAAACUUCUUUUAUAUGGGAAUAAAGUUUUCCACGUGUGGAAUUUUGUAUGUACCAUAUGAAUAAGGAUCGGCUAACUCCGUGCCAGCAGCCGCGGUAAUACGGAGGAUCCGAGCGUUAUCCGGAUUUAUUGGGUUUAAAGGGAGCGUAGGUGGACAGUUAAGUCAGUUGUGAAAGUUUGCGGCUCAACCGUAAAAUUGCAGUUGAUACUGGCUGUCUUGAGUACAGUAGAGGUGGGCGGAAUUCGUGGUGUAGCGGUGAAAUGCUUAGAUAUCACGAAGAACUCCGAUUGCGAAGGCAGCUCACUGGACUGCAAACUGACACUGAUGCUCGAAAGUGUGGGUAUCAAACAGGAUUAGAUACCCUGGUAGUCCACACAGUAAACGAUGAAUACUCGCUGUUUGCGAUAUACAGUAAGCGGCCAAGCGAAAGCAUUAAGUAUUCCACCUGGGGAGUACGCCGGCAACGGUGAAACUCAAAGGAAUUGACGGGGGCCCGCACAAGCGGAGGAACAUGUGGUUUAAUUCGAUGAUACGCGAGGAACCUUACCCGGGCUUAAAUUGCAUUUGAAUAUAUUGGAAACAGUAUAGUCGUAAGACAAAUGUGAAGGUGCUGCAUGGUUGUCGUCAGCUCGUGCCGUGAGGUGUCGGCUUAAGUGCCAUAACGAGCGCAACCCUUAUCUUUAGUUACUAACAGGUCAUGCUGAGGACUCUAGAGAGACUGCCGUCGUAAGAUGUGAGGAAGGUGGGGAUGACGUCAAAUCAGCACGGCCCUUACGUCCGGGGCUACACACGUGUUACAAUGGGGGGUACAGAAGGCAGCUACCUGGUGACAGGAUGCUAAUCCCAAAAGCCUCUCUCAGUUCGGAUCGAAGUCUGCAACCCGACUUCGUGAAGCUGGAUUCGCUAGUAAUCGCGCAUCAGCCAUGGCGCGGUGAAUACGUUCCCGGGCCUUGUACACACCGCCCGUCAAGCCAUGAAAGCCGGGGGUACCUGAAGUACGUAACCGCAAGGAGCGUCCUAGGGUAAAACUGGUAAUUGGGGC